rnacentral:rRNA from 1 species
GGGAUUGCCUCAGUAACGGCGAGUGAAGCGGCAACAGCUCAAAUUUUAAAGCUGGCGUCUUCGACGCCCGCGUUGUAAUUUGGAGAGGCAUCUUCGGUUUGGGCGCCAGCCUAUGUUCCUUGGAACAGGACGUCACAGAGGGUGAGAAUCCCGUGAUUGGCUGGCUGUCCCUUGCCAUGUGAAGUGCCUUCGACGAGUCGAGUUGUUUGGGAAUGCAGCUCAAAAUGGGUGGUAAAUUCCAUCUAAAGCUAAAUAUUGGCGGGAGACCGAUAGCGCACAAGUAGAGUGAUCGAAAGAUGAAAAGCACUUUGAAAAUAGAGUUAAAAAGUACGUGAAAUUGUUGAAAGGGAAGCGCUUGAGACCAGACUCGGCCGGAGAUGAUCAGCCGUCCUUCUGGGCGGUGCACUUGUCUCCGGUCGGGCCAGCAUCGGUUGAGACGGCGGGAUAAAGGCCCGGGGAAUGUGGCUCCUUUCGGGGAGUGUUAUAGCCCCGGACGCAAUGCCGCCAGCCUCGACCGAGGACCGCGCUUUUUGCUAGGAUGCUGGCGUAAUGGUCUUCAGCGACCCGUCUUGAAACACGGACCAAGGAGUCUAACAUCUAUGCGAGUGUUUGGGUGUCAAACCCUUGCGCGUAAUGAAAGUGAACGGAGGUGGGAACCCCCUCGCGGGGCGCACCAUCGACCGGUCCUGAUGUCUUCGGAUGGAUCUGAGUAGGAGCAUAGCUGUUGGGACCCGAAAGAUGGUGAACUAUGCCUGAAUAGGGUGAAGCCAGAGGAAACUCUGGUGG